rnacentral:lncRNA from 1 species
CACAUCAUUCUUAUGUUCACAAAAAUUUUGAUUUGCAUGGAGUUUCUCAUGCCCAGAACUAAAACUCACCACUUCUUAAUGCUCCUUCUGGAUAAGAGAUUGGUUGGUUAAGCUUUGAAUUCAAAGUUGGUUUGAAUUUAAACUAAACUACCUAGUGAUUAUCUUAUCCUAUCUAGUCCCCAUGCCACCCUUAAGAAGGGGUUUGUUUUAUGUGACAAAACAUAGGUGAAUUACCAUGAAAAUAAUCAGUGUGUGGGGCAAAAAUCAGUGAGAAGGGGUGGGCCUUCUGCACAUGAAACAAAGGAUAUCUGAUUCCUCUUGGACAUGAGG